rnacentral:misc_RNA from 1 species
CUGACAGUGGGGGGUCGAUGGGUAAUUAGUUCUUUAGGUCCUAAUGGUGACCGCCCAAAAAGUUCUUGUAAAAAGUGUCUUUUAUCGGUUAAUUCGUGUUAUUUAGUGUCGUUGGGGUGUCCCGGGGGCCCCCCGUGGUGGUGUUAAAUAGUUUGCAGUUCCGGAGGCGCGUGGUUGGCAGCGCUGCCUCAAAAUUUGGAGGGAAACGCGACGUGACGUCAUCGGCGGCCAUAUUGUCGCAAAAAAAAAAUGGCGUCGGUGCGCUCCUAAAUAUAAAAAAUAUAAAAGUUUUCAGAUGCAACAACGAGAGGGAACCAAGGCACAACGUUUUUGUAAAUUACGUAAAUUAGAGGGAAAGUACUUGGAGAGCGGCCGACCAUUCGGCGAGGAGGAAAGUCGGAAAAUGCCUGCGAAAAAUCGGAAACUCGCCAAAGAAAAUCCGCAGACGAUGUUAGAAAAGGACGAAGGACGGAGAAGAGAAAAGCGACGUUAAGAAAACCGGUGGCGUCGCGGCGCAGGAUCAAAAUGGCCGUCGGCGAGGUUGAAAUGGGCGACGGCGUUGCCGUUGUGAACCGGAUUUUCGCACCCCGGAUCAGUUUAGGUCCUAAAUCUAGAAAACUUAUAGGAAUAUUGACGUGAAACAAAAAACUUGAUAUUCAGGGAAGUCUUUUCGACCAAUGUGCUUCAAGGUUUAAACCAAUUCAGAGAAUAUUUAGCCACUUAUUAGGCGUUUUAGGCAGUGGCCUCCAAGGGCAGUGAUUAAUCUUCAAACUGACCACUCACUUCUUAGUCCGAUAUCUGAAAAACUAGCGGGAAUAUUCUCAUAAAAUAAAAAGCGUAGUAUUCAGUGAAGUCUUCUUUAGAAAUGUUCUCAAUGGUUUGAAUUAAUUCAGGAAAUAUUUUCCAAAAUAUCAGGAAUUUUGUGGAGUUGCGUCCAACAGUAGUGAUUGAUCUUCAAACCGACCACCCACUUCUUGAACCGAUAUCUGAAAAACUAGUGGGAAUAUUCUCAUAAAAUAAAAAGCUUAGUAUUCAGGAGAGUUUUCCCGAAAAAUAUACCGAAGGAUUUAAAAUAAUCCAGAAAAUAUUUCAAAAUAUUUCGAAUUUGAGGCAGUGUCGUUCGAUAGAGGUGACUGCUCUUCCAAGUGACCGCUCACUUCUAAGUCCGAUAUCUCAAAAAGUAGUGGGAAUAUUCUUAUGAAAUAAAAGGCUUAGUGUGAAGGAGAGUCUUCCUGAUAAACAUUUCGUAGGAUUUACAUUAAUCUAGAAUUUUUUUCAAAUUAUUUGGACUUUGAGGCAGUGACGUCCGAUGGAGGUGACUGCUCUUCAAACUGACCACUCACUUCUAAGUCCGAUAUUUCAGAAACUAGUGGGAAUAUCCUCAUCAAACAAAAAGCUUUUUAUGCACGGAAGUCUGCUCGACCAUCAUUCUUCAGGGUUUAAACUAGUCUAGAAAUUUUUCCAAAAUAUUAGGAACUUUAUGCAGUGGCGUCCAAGGGCAGUGAUUGAUCUUUAAACUGACAACUCGCUUCCAAGUCCAAUGUACAAAAAGCUUUAUGUUCAAGGAAGACAAAAAAAACCCUGUAUCUACUCUCCUUAGAGAUCACAGCUUGGCAACCGCGCACCCUCUCUCAUUUUCCACCAAACUUUACUCCGCAAUUACACCUCAGUAAUUAAGAAGCUCCCUUGCACUGCCAACCUCAACGUCUCGCAUCCGAAAUUAACGUCCGGUGUGUCCAUACAAGAAAAAAAGCAAAAAAAUAGAACGGGAAAAGGGGGUGAGCCGCCCCCGCAGCUAACCCUUAUCGAAUAUGUAUACAUAUAUCGAUUUUAUUUUUAAUACAAUGGCGCGGGGGGAAGAAGGGAACGAGCGGCGAUGGGUGGUGGGAGGGUUGGUUGGCAAUGGGGAGCCAUGUGUGUGAUGUUUGUUGUGUUGUUCCUCGGUUCGUUUGUUAUUGGUUUGAUGGAUUGGCUCGGGAAAGCUCGGAUACAAAGGCGUAACGAAAUGAAAAGCCAUUUUUUACGUGUAAGUGUUCAUCUACAGGGUGUCUCGAACGAAAAAAACAGUGGAUCAGAAAAAAACGAAGGGUUGAGUCUCUCAGGUAGAUGAAACCUUUCGGCAGGGGGGGAGAUGAAACAGAGAAAAAUGAUAAAUCGCGGUCUGGUUCAUUUAAAUACGAUUCAGAGCAGAAUAGAGCUCGUUUCGGUCGUAUUCAAAUGAGCCUUAUUGAAAAAUUGGUGCACCUUUGCCGGAUUUGCAUAUUACGUUGUAUUGUGCCCGGGCAUAAAUCAUCGUCGAGGGUUGUAUUGAGUUACCAGAUGGGUUAAAAUUGUCAACUUUUUUUUCCUAAGCACCCUAUCCUUCCGACUGUCUGUAUAUUCAAUUGUUAAAUAAAUGUUUUUUUUUUUAAGAAAGCAUGUGUACUUAUUUGUCCCUUUAUUUAUAAGUGGUCAGGUUAUGCUGACUGUAAUUGUUAAAUAAAUGUUUUUCAAUCUGUGUCUUUUAUUUAAUUCAGCUCUGUAAACCAAUAAAUCAAAAUAAAAAAGUGUUAAAUUCAG